GCAGACACAUUCCAGCCAAUCAGCAGCAGACCCUCCCUCCCAGACCUUCCCACCUCCUGGACAGCAUCCAUUUUACAUUCAUUGUGAAGCUGCAUUCUUAGUGAGCUGUCCAGGAGGUGGGAGAGUCUGGGAGGGAGGGUCUGCUGCUGAUUGGCUGGAAUGUGUCUG